GACGUAGGGUGCAAGCGUUGUCCGGAUUUACUGGGCGUAAAGAGCGCGUAGGCGGCUCGUUAAGUGAGAAGUGAAAGCUGUGGGCUCAACCCACAAACCGCUUUUCAUACUGGCGAGCUGGAGUGAUGCAGAGGUGGAUAGAAUUCCCGGUGUAGCGGUGAAAUGCGUUGAUAUCGUAAGGAAGACCAGUGGCGAAGGCGGGUCUCUGGACAGUUCCUGACGGCUGAAGCACGAAGGCCAGGGGAGCAAACGGG
rnacentral:rRNA from 1 species